rnacentral:lncRNA from 1 species
AACAAGUCCAUGAGUCGGUGAGUGGAAGAAGUCCAGAUACGAUCUGCAUUUCUUCAUCAAGUCAUAGAGCAAGCAUUUAGGUGUGGUUAUGACUUGAGUGUGUGGAACAGUGGAAAUCUGCCUGUGAAACAGUAACAAGGUUAAUCCCGUCUGAUGUCUGUAACAUUCAGCAGCGCAGAUGUGCCCUUCUGUUCUCAGUAGAAAGAGGAGUGCUGUCAAGUCGAAAGAGGCACUAUCUGUCAAGUCGAGUUGGAGAAAAGUUUGCGUCCUUGGAUAAACUCCUAUUCUGAACGUGUGCUGCCCGUAUAAGUGUUUGAUUUACAACAAAUGUUCCCAGCGUGCAUCUUGCCCCGUGAUGUUAAGAAUUUUCCUUCUCUAAGGCUGGCUGCAGUGGAUCAAAGUAACUGGGGACCUUGCAGCAGGCUGGCAUCAAGAACUGGCCCUCUGCUGGGAAAUGUAGGUCAGCUUCCCAUAACCAGCUCAGGCAGGACAUCUAAAAUUGCACCAGCUCUGCCAGGUUAUUUUCACAACUGUUCAUAAGACCAGUGAAACUAUGGAAGGAGAGAGGAGUUUCAAGGCCAGGAGAAACACUCUUAGUAACUUGCUAUAAACCCUCUGUGUGGUGUUUGGAGGCAACAGGUAAGGAAGGAUUUUGUCCUCACCUGCAACUGAGUGCAUUAAUUCACUUGUAACCUUAAUAGAAGAUAAUGUAUAUUGAUCCUUGCUUGCCCAGGAGAGUGGUAAGUCAUGGCAAAAAUGAGUAACUGUGCAGAAGCUGGAGGAACUGACUUAAAGUUGAUUCUUCUAGUGCCUCCUAUCUGCUCCAGUCUGAUUAUUAAACAGACUUACUGCUAACUUGCCUAAGAAAGGUCUGCCAAAAUACAGGGGCUAAUUUAAAAGUACAUGACUUCUGUAUGUGCCAAGAGGCGCUGCUUUAAUUAAUUAUAUGCAAAAUAUGAUGUUAGACUGCCCUACAACUUGAUACUUGGAAUUUAACAGGUGGCCGUGAUAUGAAGCAACAUUAUACAAAUAACAUGUUCUGUUCCCUGCCCUCACUCAAAUGUUCAUGUCUGAUUACCUCAGUUAACAAGUUAAAAUAAGACUUGUCAUGAAUUGGAUUUUCCUUUAAAAGGCUAGUCAGGUUGUUUUCUUUCUGUUUUAAGUGUUGCUAUGAGCCUCUACCACAAAUUUAGUUCUUGAACAAGAAUUUACAGAUGCUUUUGCUGAUGUGCAUGUGUGACAAGAUGUUCCUUCAGUGAUAUGUUAUUCUCAGGAGGCUGAAGGGGAAGGGGGAAUCAUGCUUUGGUUGUAAAGUAAUACAGGAAACAAUCCCUUUUUCAUUAAAAACACCAGUAAAGUUUCCGUUGCUUUGGGGAGUGAAAACCUCAGUCCCUAAGAAACAGGUUAUUUCAAAAACAUGGUUGUCUUACCCAAUCUUGUUAAUGCUGGAAAAGGGUGACUUUCUGAUCGUUUCUCAGCGGAAUUAAGAGUAAAAUUGUGGACUGCAAAUCCUGAUGAGGAGUGCAACAUUGAUUAAAAGCAGCUCUUUCUAUGAUGAAUUUCUAAUAAGCUCUAACAGCAGUAGUAACUGAGUACUUAAUGAUGACCAGGGAAAAAAAAUUGCAUCAGAGAUAGAGGAGGUCAAACCAUCCUUUCCACUGAAGAAAGUGAUGUGGAGUAAGAGUCCAGCAUCCUUAGUGGUAAAAGGAUGUCCCCUGCAGGGAAUGUCAGGUAGAGGUCAGCUUUGGAGACAAUCUUAAUUCAGCUCUCUCAGUCUGUUUCUUAUUUCUAAAACUGCAAACUGUAGAGAUGAAACUUUGUUGUGUUCAUGUAGUGCAUAAUAGAGUGAGGCCUUGUAUAAUGCUACAAGCCAGAAUUAUUGUAGUAAUAAAUUAAGUUUUGAUGUCAUCUAAGAUUCGGCUUUUUCACCUUCAAAGACAUU